rnacentral:tRNA from 1 species
GGGUCGGUACCGAAGCGGUCAAACGGGGCAGACUGUAAAUCUGCUGGCUUUACGCCUUCGCUGGUUCGAGUCCAGCCCGGCCCACCA